AUUGAACGCUGGCGGCAUGCCUUACACAUGCAAGUCGAACGGCAGCACGGGAGCAAUCCUGGUGGCGAGUGGCGAACGGGUGAGUAAUAUAUCGGAACGUGCCCAGUAGUGGGGGAUAGCCCGGCGAAAGCCGGAUUAAUACCGCAUGAGACCUGAGGGUGAAAGCGGGGGAUCGCAAGACCUCGCGCUAUUGGAGCGGCCGAUAUCAGAUUAGCUAGUUGGUGGGGUAAAGGCCUACCAAGGCAACGAUCUGUAGUUGGUCUGAGAGGACGACCAGCCACACUGGGACUGAGACACGGCCCAGACGCCUACGGGAGGCAGCAGUGGGGAAUUUUGGACAAUGGGCGCAAGCCUGAUCCAGCAAUGCCGCGUGCAGGAAGAAGGCCUUCGGGUUGUAAACUGCUUUUGUCAGGGAAGAAAUCUUCUGGGCUAAUAUCCCGGGAGGAUGACGGUACCUGAAGAAUAAGCACCGGCUAACUACGUGCCAGCCGCCGCAGUAACAC
rnacentral:rRNA from 1 species